CAAAAGACCAAAAUGACACAAACAUUAACAACUAUAGGUCACCGUACGGCCUUCAACAAUGAGCAAAGCCCAUUCCGCAUAGUCAGCUAUAAAAGGCCCCGAUAAGACAAUGUAAAACAAAUUCAAACGAGAAAACUAACGGCCUUAUUUAUGAAAAAAAUUUAACGAAAAACAAAAGUGUAACACAUAAACAAACGACAACCACUGAAUUACAGGCUCCUGACUUGGGACAGGCACAUACAUAAAUAAUGUGGCGGGGUUAAACAUGUUAGCAGGAUCCAAACCCUCCCC
rnacentral:lncRNA from 1 species